UUUUGUCUCAAAUGGUCGAUGCUCAUAGAAAUGACUUAGCUGAGAUUUAACGGCAAAGAAUUCACUUAGAAAUAAAAGGUAGUGAUAAAGACUUAGCUUACAAUAACUUUCAAACAGGCCUGGUGAUUUGCUUUUAUUCUGUCUCUGAAACUCUUCUAACAGUCGACUCGGAUAUUAUAACUUUGCCUUUUGGGAUAAACAUCUUUAAGCUCUGGUGCUGAGGAUUUUACGGAAGUUCUUGCGACUGUAAGCAAUUGUAACUGAGAAGUCAUUACGUUUUAGCCAGGCUGGAGGUAACAGGGCCUCUCCUGAGACUUCGCAACGCCGUUAAAAACUGAAAAGAAAGUUUGCUAGAAACUUACAGUGCCUUGCACCUCACCCAGUUUUUGCCACUGAGUAACUGUUUGCUGCCAAGACAGGAAGGGUGGAAGAAGUGGAUUCCAAACCAAGGGAAACAUCCAAUGUUUGUACACAACAGGUGAGGCUGUCAAUGUGCUGAACCAGUGCCUGGCUGCGACAAUGGACUGGAUGAGGACUAAUAAACUGAGGCUCAAUCCAGACAAGACUGAGAUGCUGCUAGUGGGUGGUUCUUCUGACCAGAUGGUGGAUGUCCAACCUGUCCUGGAUGGGGUUGCACUCCCCCUGAAGGAGCAGGUUUGUAGCUUGGGGGUUCUCCUAGAACCAUCUCUGUCACUUGAGGCUCAGGUAGCCUUCUACCAACUUUGGUUGGUGGCCCAGCUACACCCCUAUCUGGACAGGGAUAACCUGGCUUCAGUGGUCCAUGCUCUGGUAACCUCCAAGUUAGAUUACUGCAAUGCGCUCUAUGUGGGGCUGCCUUUGAAGACAGUUCGGAAGCUGCAGCUUGUGCAAAAUGCAGCGGCCAGAUUGGUAACAGGGACCAGACAGUUUGAACAUAUAAAACCAAUUCUGGCCCCCUUGCAUUGGCUGCCUGUAUGUUUCCGAGCUCAGGGUGCUGGUUUUAACCUAUAAAGCCUUACACGGCUUAGGACCACAAUACCUGAUGAAACGCCUCUCCCAAUAUGAACCCACCCGUACACUAUGCUCAACAUCCAAGGCCCUCCUCUGGGUGCCUACUCCAAGGGAAGCUGGGAGUCUGGCAACAAGGGAGAGGGCCUUCUCUGUGGUGGCCCCCAAAUUAUGGAAUGAUCUUUCUGACGAGGUAUGCCUGGCACCAACACUGUUAUCUUUUCGGGAGCAGGUGAAGACUUUCCUCUUCUCCCAGGCAUUUUAGCAUGUGUUUUUAAAUUGUUUUUUUUUUAAUUAAAUUGUGUUUUUAAAUUG